CGGCGAGUGGCGAACGGGUGAGUAUAGCAUCGGAACGUGCCAAGUAGUGGGGGAUAACCAAACGAAAGUUUGGCUAAUACCGCGUAAGCUCCAAGGAGGAAAGUAGGGGACCUAAAUAAGGCCUUACGCUAUUUGAUCGGCCGAUGUCGGAUUAGCUAGUUGGUGGGGUAAUGGCUCACCAAGGCAAUGAUCCGUAGUGGGUCUGAGAGGACGAUCCGCCACACUGGGACUGAGACACGGCCCAG
rnacentral:rRNA from 1 species